rnacentral:rRNA from 1 species
CUGCUGCCUUCCGUAGGAGUUUGGGCCGUGUCUCAGUCCCAAUGUGGCCGGUCACCCUCUCAGGUCGGCUACUGAUCGUCGCCUUGGUGAGCCGUUACCUCACCAACUAGCUAAUCAGACGCGGGUCCAUCUCAUACCACCGGAGUUUUUCACACAAAGAUAUGCAUCCCCGUGCGCUUAUGCGGUAUUAGCAGUCAUUUCUAACUGUUAUCCCCCUGUAUGAGGCAGGUUACCCACGCGUUACUCACCCG